AGUCGAGCGGUAGGCCCUUCGGGGUACACGAGCGGCGAACGGGUGAGUAACACGUGGGUGAUCUGCCCUGCACUUCGGGAUAAGCCUGGGAAACUGGGUCUAAUACCGGAUAUGACCUCCGAUCGCAUGGUUGGUGGUGGAAAGAUUUAUCGGUGCAGGAUGGGCCCGCGGCCUAUCAGCUUGUUGGUGGGGUAAUGGCCUACCAAGGCGACGACGGGUAGCCGACCUGAGAGGGUGACCGGCCACACUGGGACUGAGACACGGCCCAGACUCCUACGGGAGGCAGCAGUGGGGAAUAUUGCACAAUGGGCGAAAGCCUGAUGCAGCGACGCCGCGUGAGGGACGACGGCCUUCGGGUUGUAAACCUCUUUCAGCAGGGACGAAGCGCAAGUGACGGUACCUGCAGAAGAAGCACCGGCUAACUACGUGCCAGCAGCCGCGGUAAUACGUAGGGUGCAAGCGUUGUCCGGAAUUACUGGGCGUAAAGAGUUCGUAGGCGGUUUGUCACGUCGUUUGUGAAAACUCACAGCUCAACUGUGAGCCUGCAGGCGAUACGGGCAGACUUGAGUACUGCAGGGGAGACUGGAAUUCCUGGUGUAGCGGUGAAAUGCGCAGAUAUCAGGAGGAACACCGGUGGCGAAGGCGGGUCUCUGGGCAGUAACUGACGCUGAGGAACGAAAGCGUGGGUAGCGAACAGGAUUAGAUACCCUGGUAGUCCACGCCGUAAACGGUGGGCGCUAGGUGUGGGUUCCUUCCACGGAAUCCGUGCCGUAGCUAACGCAUUA
rnacentral:rRNA from 1 species